GUUGAGACUAGUCACAUCAUGACAAGGGUGCUUGUCCUGGUGGGCUAGAAUUCUCCAAGAGAAUCUGCUAGUCUUGAUUCACUGUUAGAGGCCUUCAGUGUCCCUCUUAGUGCACAGAUCAGAAACAUGU